rnacentral:rRNA from 1 species
AUGCAUGUCUAAGUACAUACUUUUACAUAGUGAAACCGCGAAUGGCUCAUUAAAUCAGUUAUGGUUCCUUAGAUCGUACAAUCCUACUUGGAUAACUGUGGCAAUUCUAGAGCUAAUACAUGCAAAUCAGCUCCGACCUUCGGGGAAGAGCGCUUUUAUUAGAUCAAGACCAAUACGGGCUUGCCCGUUCCUUUGGUGACUCUGGAUAACUUUGUGCUGAUCGCAUGGCCUUGCGCCGGCGACGUAUCUUUCAAAUGUCUGCCCUAUCAACUGUCGAUGGUACGUGCUAUGCCUACCAUGGUUUUUACGGGUAACGGAGAAUCAGGGUUCGAUUCCGGAGAGGGAGCAUGAGAAACGGCUACCACA